rnacentral:rRNA from 1 species
AGAGUUUGAUCCUGGCUCAGGACGAACGCUGGCGGCAUGCCUAAUACAUGCAAGUCGAGCGGACUUGAUGAGAAGCUUGCUUCUCUGAUGGUUAGCGGCGGACGGGUGGGUAACACGUAGGCAACCUGCCCUCAAGCUUGGGACAACUACCGGAAACGGUAGCUAAUACCGAAUACUUGCUUUCUUCGCCUGAAGGAAGCUGGAAAGACGGAGCAAUCUGUCACUUGAGGAUGGGCCUGCGGCGCAUUAGCUAGUUGGUGAGGUAACGGCUCACCAAGGCGACGAUGCGUAGCCGACCUGAGAGGGUGAUCGGCCACACUGGGACUGAGACACGGUCCAGACUCCUACGGGAGGCAGCAGUGGGGAAUCUUGCGCAAUGGGGGAAACCCUGACGCAGCAACGCCGCGUGGGUGAUGAAGGCCUUCGGGUCGUAAAGCCCUGUCAGGUGGGAAGAAACUUGUCGAUGCGAAUAUCAUCGACACUUGACGGUACCACCGGAGGAAGCACCGGCUAACUCCGUGCCAGCAGCCGCGGUAAUACGGAGGGUGCAAGCGUUGUUCGGAAUUAUUGGGCGUAAAGCGCGUGCAGGCGGUCGGGUAAGUCAGAUGUGAAAGCCUUCCGCUUAACGGAAGAAGUGCAUUUGAAACUGCUCGGCUAGAGUACGGGAGAGGAGAGUGGAAUUCCCGGUGUAGAGGUGAAAUUCGUAGAUAUCGGGAGGAACACCAGUGGCGAAGGCGGCUCUCUGGUCCGAUACUGACGCUGAGACGCGAAAGCGUGGGGAGCAAACAGGAUUAGAUACCCUGGUAGUCC